rnacentral:misc_RNA from 1 species
UUUCCGUAGGUGAACCUGCGGAAGGAUCAUUAUUGAAUAAAACUUGGUCCAGUUGUUGCUGGCUCUUAAGAGCAUGUGCACGCUUGGUCCAUUUUUUAAUACCUCCUGUGCAUUUUGUGUAGAUUUAAACAUCUAUCGAGGCAACUCGGUCAGAGAAUUGCUGUGUGAAAGCCAGCUUUUCUUGGGUUUAGAUCUACAACUUUACACACUCCUUAUAAAAGUAUUAGAAUGUAGACAAGGCCAUAGUGCCUUUAAAAUGAAAUACAACUUUCAACAACGGAUCUCUUGGCUCUCGCAUCGAUGAAGAACGCAGCGAAAUGCGAUAAGUAAUGUGAAUUGCAGAAUUCAGUGAAUCAUCGAAUCUUUGAACGCACCUUGCGCUCCUUGGUAUUCCGAGGAGCAUGCCUGUUUGAGUGUCAUAAAAUUCUCAACCUGUCUAGUUUUUUUUUUUUAAAAGACUUUGACAAGGCUUGGAUUCUGGAAGUUGCUGGCUUUUUUGGGUCAGCUCUUCUCAAAUGCAUUAGUGAUGAUCUUUACUAGAUCAGCUUUGGUAUGAUAAUUAUCUAUAUCACUGCUAUGGAAAGAUCUUGCUUCAAAUUGUCUUGUAGGACAAAAUUUAUUGAACUAUUGACCU